rnacentral:rRNA from 1 species
CCUACGGGAGGCAGCAGUGAGGAAUAUUGGUCAAUGGGCUUACGCCUGAACCAGCCAAGUCGCGUGAGGGAAGACUGCACUAUGGGUUGUAAACCUCUUUUGUCAGGGAGCAACGCCGGCUACGUGUAGCCGGACUGAGAGUACCUGAAGAAAAAGCAUCGGCUAACUCCGUGCCAGCAGCCGCGGUAAUACGGAGGAUGCGAGCGUUAUCCGGAUUUAUUGGGGUAAAGGGGUGCGUAGGCGGAAUGCCAAGUCAGCGGUAAAAGCGCGGGGCUCAACCUCGCUCCGCCGUUGAAACUGGCGUUCUUGAGUGGGCGAGAAGUAUGCGGAAUGCGUGGUGUAGCGGUGAAAUGCAUAGAUAUCACGCAGAACUCCGAUUGCGAAGGCAGCAUACCGGCGCCCAACUGACGCUGAAGCACGAAAGCGUGGGUAUCGAACAGGAUUAGAUACCCCAGUAGUC